ACGAACGCUGGCGGCACGCUUAACACAUGCAAGUCGAACGAGAGAAGAGAAGCUUGCUUUUCUGAUCUAGUGGCGGACGGGUGAGUAACACGUGAGCAAUCUGCCUUUCAGAGGGGGAUACCGAUUGGAAACGAUCGUUAAUACCGCAUAAUAUAAUUGAACCGCAUGAUUUGAUUAUCAAAGAUUUAUCGCUGAAAGAUGAGCUCGCGUCUGAUUAGCUAGUUGGUAAGGUAACGGCUUACCAAGGCGACGAUCAGUAGCCGGACUGAGAGGUUGAUCGGCCACAUUGGGACUGAGACACGGCCCAGACUCCUACGGGAGGCAGCAGUGGGGAAUAUUGCACAAUGGAGGAAACUCUGAUGCAGCGAUGCCGCGUGAGGGAAGAAGGUUUUAGGAUUGUAAACCUCUGUCUUCAGGGACGAAAAAAGACGGUACCUGAGGAGGAAGCUCCGGCUAACUACGUGCCAGCAGCCGCGGUAAUACGUAGGGAGCGAGCGUUGUCCGGAAUUACUGGGUGUAAAGGGAGCGUAGGCGGGAUCGCAAGUCAGAUGUGAAAACUAUGGGCUUAACCCAUAAACUGCAUUUGAAACUGUGGUUCUUGAGUGAAGUAGAGGUAAGCGGAAUUCCUAGUGUAGCGGUGAAAUGCGUAGAUAUUAGGAGGAACAUCAGUGGCGAAGGCGGCUUACUGGGCUUUAACUGACGCUGAGGCUCGAAAGCGUGGGGAGCAAACAGGAUUAGAUACCCUGGUAGUCCACGCCGUAAACGAUGAUUACUAGGUGUGGGGGGACUGACCCCUUCCGUGCCGCAGCAAACGCAAUAAGUAAUCCACCUGGGGAGUACGACCGCAAGGUUGAAACUCAAAGGAAUUGACGGGGGCCCGCACAAGCAGUGGAGUAUGUGGAUUAAUUCGAAGCAACGCGAAGAACCUUACCAGGUCUUGACAUCGUAUGCAUAGCUCAGAGAUGAGUGAAAUCUCUUCGGAGACAUAUAGACAGGUGGUGCAUGGUUGUCGUCAGCUCGUGUCGUGAGAUGUUGGGUUAAGUCCCGCAACGAGCGCAACCCUUACUGUCAGUUACUACGCAAGAGGACUCUGGCAGGACUGCCGUUGACAAAACGGAGGAAGGUGGGGAUGACGUCAAAUCAUCAUGCCCCUUAUGACCUGGGCCUCACACGUACUACAAUGGCUGUAAACAGAGGGAUGCAAAGCCGCGAGGUGGAGCGAACCCCUAAAAGCAGUCUUAGUUCGGAUUGUAGGCUGCAACCCGCCUACAUGAAGUCGGAAUUGCUAGUAAUCGCAGAUCAGCAUGCUGCGGUGAAUACGUUCCCGGGCCUUGUACACACCGCCCGUCACGCCAUGGGAGUCGGUAACACCCGAAGCCUGUAGUCUAACCGCAAGGAGGACGCAGUCGAAGGUGGGAUUGAUGACUGGGGUG
rnacentral:rRNA from 1 species